GGUACGCGGCAAAAGAAAUGAAGCAGAACGAGCUCUUCCUUCUUCCUCUCAACAGCGUCCCAUUGCAUCAAGGAGAAGGAGAAGAGUGGAGGGUACUAGUGAGCCACUAGAUGUAUCAGAGGCAGUAGAUCCAUCUCUUUCAGAGCCAUAUGCCUCACCAUCUGUUGUCAUUGCUGCUGAUGCUACUGAGGCUAGUCAGCAAGAGUAACCAUCCGAUCACGAUGAUAUUUCUGUUGGACCAUUACCUGGAGGCUCUAAGGAUCCAUCCAUUCUGAAAAGCUUUAAAAAUCACGUUGUGUUUGCAAUAUGGUCAAGAGAGACAGCUUGGCAUUGCGAGUAGAUGAGAGGUGAAGAGCAUCAGUGGAUAUCUUACGUUACUUGAGGUAAUUUGGAUGCCGUAUUGGAGGGCUCGUGCACAUCACCCAUUACCAGAGAUUACAUUUUUCUCGGGUUGUUUGAAAUGUGGAAGUAUUAUCGAACCAUAUCAUCCUGAGAGGGUAUUACGACAGUUUGGGUAUGUACAAACUAUUCAUCCACCUCCAUUAUCACCUAUUGAAGCUAAGCGGGGUGCAGGUACGACAUCAUAUCGAGUAAUUUAUGCAUUUAUUGACGAUAGUUGAAAUCGGUAGGAUAUUCAUUUAUUACCACCACAUCGACGCGGUAGACCUUGUGAAUUUCCAUGGCACUUUACAUAUGAAUACUUACCGUGGUAUGGAUCUAUUACUCAUGCAUUGAUACAAAAUCCUAAACGUAGAUCAGGGUUCGAUAGAGGUGGCGAAGAUCUACUCAGUCUUGCUGAAGCAGUAAGAUUUUAAGUUUAUGUUUAAGUUAUUAUUGAAUAUAGUUUAUUUAAAUCAAAAAAAUUGAUAUAUUUUUUUUUCAGUGUAAUUGUGUUGCAUUACGUGCUCUCAAUCUUACCAUGUCAAGUGUAGAACCCGUAUCCUCAGAUGCAUGGAGAGAGACGUGUAUCCACGUAAAUCGUAUUCUAUCAUCUUCUACAAUCUUCAAUCCAUCGCCCCCGUGUGAUGCUACCGGACCCUCCACAUCUCAUACUUCUCAACCCCCCAAUCAAGAUGAGCAAGACUAAUUCAAGCACGAUGAGCAAGUCUAAUUCAAGCACGAACAGAAUGGAACAUUGAAUCAAUUAAUUAUUUUUAUUAGUACUUUUAUUGGCUGUAUU